GGUAGAGCAGCAAUGCUUGAGAGUGGCGAACGGGUGAGUAAUAUAUCGGAACGUGCCCAGUCGUGGGGGAUAACGUAGAGAAAUUUACGCUAAUACCGCAUACGAUCUAAGGAUGAAAGCGGGGGAUUCUGCAAGGAGCCUCGCGCGAUUGGAGCGGCUGAUAUCAGAUUAGGUUGUUGGUGAGGUAAAAGCUCACCAAGCCGACGAUCUGUAGCUGGUUUGAGAGAACGACCAGCCACACUGGGACUGAGACACGGCCCAGACUCCUACGGGAGGCAGCAGUGGGGAAUUUUGGACAAUGGGCGAAAGCCUGAUCCAGCAAUGCCGCGUGCAGGAAGAAGGCCUUCGGGUUGUAAACUGCUUUUGUACGGAACGAAACGGUCUGCUCUAAUACAGUGGGCUAAUGACGGUACCGUAAGAAUAAGCACCGGCUAACUACGUGCCAGCAGCCGCGGUAAUACGUAGGGUGCGAGCGUUAAUCGGAAUUACUGGGCGUAAAGCGUGCGCAGGCGGUUAUAUAAGACAGUUAUGAAAUCCCCGGGCUCAACCUGGGAAUUGCAUCUGUGACUGUAUAGCUAGAGUACGGUAGAGGGGGAUGGAAUUCCGCGUGUAGCAGUGAAAUGCGUAGAUAUGCGGAGGAACACCGAUGGCGAAGGCAAUCCCCUGGACCUGUACUGACGCUCAUGCACGA
rnacentral:rRNA from 1 species